rnacentral:rRNA from 1 species
GACGAACGCUGGCGGCGUGCCUAAUACAUGCAAGUCGAGCGCAGGAAACUGACGGAACUCUUCGGAGGGAAGGCAGUGGAAUGAGCGGCGGACGGGUGAGUAACACGUAAGGAACCUGCCUCAAGGAUUGGGAUAACUCCGAGAAAUCGGAGCUAAUACCGGAUAGUUCAACGGACCGCAUGGUCCGCUGAUGAAAGGCGCUCCGGCGUCACCUUGAGAUGGCCUUGCGGUGCAUUAGCUAGUUGGUGGGGUAACGGCCCACCAAGGCGACGAUGCAUAGCCGACCUGAGAGGGUGAUCGGCCACACUGGGACUGGGACACGGCCCAGACUCCUACGGGAGGCAGCAGUAGGGAAUCUUCCACAAUGGACGAAAGUCUGAUGGAGCAACGCUGCGUGAGUGAUGAAGGUUUUCGGAUCGUAAAACUCUGUUGUAAGGGAAGAACACGUACGAGAGGAAAUGCUCGUACCUUGACGGUACCUUACGAGAAAGCCACGGCUAACUACGUGCCAGCCGCCGCAGUAA